AGUCCAUAGGUCCCAAAGAGUUGGACACAACUGAAUAAGUUUCUCCACUAGUUCUGCAAUAUUCCAUAUUCCUAGUGCCCAGUACAAAAAUUUGAGGCAUACCACUAAUAUUUACCAAGAUGUAACAAUGUUUUGGGGUAAAGAUCUUAAUAUUUACAAUUUAUCUCAACUGUAUGUAAACAAACUUUAAUGAAUUCAUGUGAUGAACUACUUUUUUAGCUCUUCUAUUUCCUGUAAUUUUUAGUUAGGUAAAACCUCCUCUUAUCAGUGUAGUGGUCAAGAAUGUGGGCUGAGUAAUCAUAUCUCCUAGAUUCAAAACUCUGCUUUCAAAUUCCUAACUUUGUGACUGGCCAAUUACUUAACCUCUAUAGGUCCCAGUUUCCUCAUUUAUCAAAUGAGGGUAAUAAUACCAACUGCCUCAUAGCUAUAUUGGUAUGGGUUAAAUUAAUUAAUUCAUAAAAAGCAUUUGGAAGAGGACCUGGUGUACAGUAAGUAUUCCACAAAUGUGAACUCCCACCCACUGUAGCACCAACUCUUCUUGCCCUUCUCUCAAGGUCCAAGCCAAGUUCUCCAUUAUUUUUUUUUUCCCCUUCUGAUUUCAGGCUCAUGGGUGUUGGCCUGAGAUUAAGGCUGUCCUCUUUCUCACUGCUACAUUAGCCAACUACAUUCUUCUUGAAAACCUCCAAGUAUUCUUUCCUUUUCUAGGUUUUGGGCCAUUUACUCUAUUGAAACAACUCUUUACAGGUUCUGUAGAGAAGUAUCUCUUCCAUUUACACAUUGUAAAGUUUUUCUCUGAUUACUCGAAUAUGAAUUCCUUGAGAGUUCGGACUGUGUCUUAAUUAUCUCUAUUAUUUCCGUCCCUUCCCCCUCCCUGCUGCACAGUCUAAGUUAAAGAAAAGUGUAAAAAGAAAAAAAAAGAAUUAACCCAUUUAGCCUUUGUAUUUUUUUGUUCAUUUUAUCCCGAGAAUUGUAUUCUGAACCUCCAGUUUUCCUGCAAAAUGGCUUGCUCCUUUUAUCUCUGGAAGUUUUAAUUUCACCUAGUGGUGGUAGAUUCCCAUCUUGGAUCAUCAUUUCCUGGCAGGUUUAACUUUUUUAGAUUCUAUGUGUAUGAAGCUUAAUCAUAUAAUGAACUACUCAAGCCAAGAACUACAAUGAAGUGAAGUGAAGUCGCUCAGUCGUGUCCGACGCUUUGCGAGCCCAUGGACUGU